rnacentral:rRNA from 1 species
UACGUAGGGUGCAAGCGUUAAUCGGAAUUACUGGGCGUAAAGCGUGCGCAGGCGGUUUUGUAAGUCUGUUGUGAAAUCCCCCGGGCUUAACCUGGGAAUGGCAAUGGAGACUGCAAGGCUAGAGUUUGGCAGAGGGGGGGUAGAAUUCCACGUGUAGCAGUGAAAUGCGUAGAGAUGUGGAGGAACACCGAUGGCGAAGGCAGCCCCCCUGGGUCAAGACUGACGCUCAUGCACGAAAGCGUGGGGAGCAAACAGG